AGUGAACGCUGGCGGUAGGCCUAACACAUGCAAGUCGAACGGCAGCACAGUAAGAGCUUGCUCUUACGGGUGGCGAGUGGCGGACGGGUGAGGAAUACAUCGGAGUCUACUUUUUCGUGGGGGAUAACGUAGGGAAACUUACGCUAAUACCGCAUACGACCUACGGGUAAAAGCAGGGGAUCUUCGGACCUUGCGCGAUUGAAUGAGCCGAUGUCGGAUUAGCUAGUUGGCAGGGUAAAGGCCCACCAAGGCGACGAUCCGUAGCUGGUCUGAGAGGAUGAUCAGCCACACUGGAACUGAGACACGGUCCAGACUCCUACGGGAGGCAGCAGUGGGGAAUAUUGGACAAUGGGCGCAAGCCUGAUCCAGCCAUACCGCGUGGGUGAAGAAGGCCUUCGGGUUGUAAAGCCCUUUUGUUGGGAAAGAAAAGCAGCAGGUUAAUACCCCGCUGUUCUGACGGUACCCAAAGAAUAAGCACCGGCUAACUUCGUG
rnacentral:rRNA from 1 species